GGGUGUCACUGUGGGCAGUCACAGAAAGGUCAUGGCCUGGUGUCAAAUCUCCAAGGGAGAAACUUUGGCUGGCACAUGGGGUCAGGGGACAGUGUCAGAAUAUCCCAGCCCCUAAGCUCUGAAUACAAAAGUGGAACUCUUUAAUUCCUGUGUAAACUUUGAGAAGGCAAACACUCCCUUACUCUCCUGGCUCCAUUAUAAGGAGCUGUGUUUGCACUGCCAACUUCUUGGGGCUCUUCUGAGGUCUGCAGGGUUAUUUUGUUGCUGUUGGUGGUGCUGGUAUUGUUGGUAUUUUGUUUUGUUUUGAGGGCAAAGCCGACCAUCUCCUAGCUGCUUUAGGAAGAGAAGGGCAGAGAGCAAGUUUCUGUGAUUGCCACAGUGUGGAGACUGCCUUCUGCCCAACUUUGUAUCGCUCCAGACACCGCGGGGUUGAAAUCCACUCUUCACGCUAAGGUUGGCCAAUAUUUGAAGACCCGUUUGUGUAAAUAUCAGGAACUGUCAGAACCCAGCAGCAGGAAACCCUACCCCCAACGCACAUCAAGAUCCGUUGUCCCUGCCCAAAACAACAGAUCAGCUUCCUAGAAGGCCCUUGCUCAAACCUGGGAGUAACGUCAGCCUGCCCUCUGCCUGUGCGUAUGAAGGCUGACCUUCUGAGAUCAAACACUGUCCUGUCCAAGAGUCCCCUUGCCUGGAAAUGUCCCUGCCUGGCGCAGAUCGCUGUUUCCCUCAGACCCUCAGCAGCCUGACUGUCUUCCCAGGGUGACCAGCCCAGCUCUGCUCUGAGACACAGCUCUGCCAAAGUAAACCGCAUGGCUUAUAAACAGUUUAAAAAUCAUUUUUCCCUGAUGAGCUAAGAAUGCAUAAGGGAGAGAGAGAGGAACUUCAUUUUUUUUAAAAAUAAAAAAUGGGUCUUUUAGUGUUAUUAUUAAUAAAGUCAUGUUGGUGAUUAGAUAUUUCAAAGGUAUCCAGGGAUGUUUCAGAGGCCGGGGAUGACCCGGAAGCUAUACAGGACCCAUCUGUGACAGAGAAGAAGAAUCCAUAGUAGCUGUCGCACAACGGAAGCCCUGGAAGCAAAGCUAAGAACCCAUCACGUGGCUGGGAUGCCAUAUAGUGUCCAAAACAGAGCUGUUAACCAGGGUCUGCUGCUGGCCCAGCACUUGCUUCUUCUAGACAAAAUAGCCGGUUUCCCAGGAUUUUGCAAGUGGCAGAUGAGACCUGAAUGGUUUCACACCAGAUCUUGGCAGGGAUUUGUUAACCCUGUUUGCAAGGUUGUCCUAGACUGGAUCACAACGUACAUAGAAAUGGGUCUGAAAUUCCCUUGUAGAACAAAUUCCUUAGUACAGCUUUCCAUCUGGAAAUUAACCUUGCAAAAAUGCUAACAGGACUGGAAGGUGCCUCGGUGGGGCCAGAUGACCAUGGUAGCACACACAUCUGCGAGCCCAGCAUUCUUACGGUGAGAUGGGAAACUAAGACAAGAAUCCACAGAGGCUUGAGGGCCGGCUAGCCUUGGAAUGUGCAGCAGGGAACAAUAAGAGUGUCUCAGACAAAAAGGCCCUGUGUGGUUUAAUAGGACCAGCGGAGGUUGUCCUAUGAUCUCCACCCAUGAGCUUCGGUAUGCUUCCCCAACAACGUUAAUAAGAAGGGCAAGGAUAAGAACAGUGAGCGUAGACCAGCGGCAGCUGAACAGAUAGAUGGUACCAUUUAUUUGGUCCAGCCCAAUGCCCUGCUAGCAUCUCUGUUUGCUUUGAUCUGCAUGCAUGAUCUGCUCCUCUCCGGGGGAUGGAGAAUGCAAAGGGACUAGAUCUUACUCCAGGGUACACUUUUAGCAUCGAAGCCACUGCAGCCUGUGGCAAGCACGCAGGAGGGUGGAGGAGACUGUCGCCUCUGCUGGACACCGUGAAUCAGUGCUUGUUCUGCACUUACAAUGCACAUCAUCACCAUAGAAACCUGGCAAGAGCUGGGUAAGAGUCUGUGGGUUCUGCCAAAUGAAUGUUUUGCUGUUAUGAUUCGCAGCGAUCCUAUUAAAUCACAAGGAGUGUUUUUCUGCUGGGCAGCAGAUGCUGUCAUAAAACACGUUCGUCCUCAGAUUCGCACGCAGGCACGCAGCCCUUUGACCAGCCCCACCGUGCGUGUUGACAUAGGCGGGCUGCAAACGCCACCCACAGCUGUGGGCUUGCUGCAGGGACUCCCCUGCAACAGGUGUGUGUUUUAAAGGACCCUGAACCUGGAUUUACAGUGGGGCCAGCUGCUGCCUUUGGGACUGACCAUUUGUCAUCUCUAGAUGGGUCACCCUCCUCAAAGACUGGCUUGUUGGAAAUUCUAUCCUCGCCAUGGGACCCUGUCGUAAUUCUCAUUCUGCUGGCUUCUGCUAGCAUGGAGGGAAGAAGUCGGACGGUUUGCCCAAGCUAUUCUGAAGUACGUCAGUCACGUUGGUGUUCUGUGGUUCAAAAAUAUUAAGCAAGAAAUAUUAAGCGAUUCCAUUGGUGUGUCACAGACUGGACAUCAAGCAAAUACAAGUCAUCCCAUAAAAUACAGAGAGCCUCCAAGGGUUCCAGUUCCCCAUCAUCUCAUGUAUUCCGGUGAGCCUGAUGUUCCUGUGUUCCCAUGGCUACUUUUCUUUAACCCCACGCUGGAAUUGGGAAAUCUGGGGCGGGCAGGGUCCCAUGACUAGGAUCGGGAGUCCCGCCCUAUUUCUUCUGCCCAGCUCAUUGGCUGACCGGCUCUUUUACUAACAAAUCAGAAGUGAUGGAAAACAAUUUUUACAUGACAUUGAGACCAGAGAUGCUUGACCUGGCCUUCAUCUAGACUGCUGCCAGCUGUCUGGGCAUGGGAAUCAGUAUCUGAAAACACAGUGCACAGAACCCAUCCCCCAACGAACUAUAGCUAUAUGAUCUGCUGGCCUUCAUAACCAUACACAUAUACGUAAUGAGACAAACGGCAGCCUGCUAACUACAAGUCACUUCCCAAUGUGAGGUCUUGAGAAAGGUUCUCUUCUAGAGGACUGAACGGUGGAGAAGACAAAUUUCAUGACCAUGAAGAAUCAAGCUUGAUGCCCAUGAAAAGUUGGUCCAAUCAAACUGCAGCCUGCAAGGCAGAGAAAGCUGUAUCUACAGUGUAGUGCUGGUCUGAGGUAAAGUGGAUUCGUACUUAAUUUCCCAGCAGCCUAAUGGGAACUCUCGCCCUUGCACGGAGCCCUAAAUUCUCCAGCUUAUGAGGUGCUAAUGGAGUCUCAGUUUUCUCACCGGGAAGUUGGAUUUCAUGCACAUUCAGGGAGCAGGAAGAGAAGGAAUUUGAAUAUAGUAGCACCCCUUGUCCGUGGUUUCCCUUUCUACGGGUUCGUUUGCCUGCGGGCAAUUGUGGUCUGAAAAUAUUAGGUGGAAAAGAUCUAGGAAAAAAAAAUCAUAAACUUUCAAUUGCAUAUUGUUUUUAGUAACAUACCAAAGCUCGCAGAGCUCUUUUCCCCUGUCUGGAACGUGAUUUACCGUCGUGCCCAGUGGACCCAAGUUGAGGUGGUUACCCACUCAUUAGUAAUCCAGUAGACAUCUUCAAUGAAGUCACAACGAUUAUGUUCCAGAUACCAUUAUUUUACUUAAUAGUGGCCUGGAAUAAAAGUAUUUAUUAUAGCAUA